CCUACGGGAGGCUGCAGUAGGGAAUCUUCCACAAUGGGCGAAAGCCUGAUGGAGCAACGCCGCGUGGGUGCAGAAGGUCUUCGGAUCGUAACCCCCUGUUGUUAGAGCAGCAAGUGCGUUAGAGUAACUGUUCACGUUUCGACGGUAUCUAACCAGCAAGCCACGGCUAACUACGUGCCAGCAGCCGCGGUAAUACGUAGGUGGCAAGCGUGAUCCUGAUUUAUUGGGCGUAAAGGGGACGCAGGCGGUCUUUUAAGUCUGAUGUGAAAGCCUUCGGCUUAACCGGAGUAGUGCAUUGGAAACUGGGAGACGUGAGUGCAGAAGAGGAGAGUGGAACUCCAUGUGUAGCGGUGAAAUGCGUAGAUAUAUGGAAGAACACCAGUGGCGAAAGCGGCUCUCUGGUCUGUAACUGACGCGGAGGUUCGAAAGCGGGGGUAGCAAACAGGAGUAGAUACCCUUGUAGUC
rnacentral:rRNA from 1 species